rnacentral:lncRNA from 1 species
AUUCAUUUCUCAGCAACCACAUUGUGCCUCACAACCAUGUAUGACAUCUUCUGCACACACAUGCAACACACAAACUCACGAAGGAAAACACAAGUACACAUAAAUAAAAUUAAUUUAAAAGUCUAUAUAAAUCUUUUAAAAAGACAGAAGGACAAAAAAAGAAAAGAAAGAAAGGAAACUAGCUAGCUAUGUCUACAUGGUUCUGGCUGUACUACUUUGUCUAUGAGUGAGUUCCUUGGUCUGAGUGGCUGCUUGUGUGGAAUGGCAAGCAGGCUUUAAGUUCCUUCAGUGGUUGUAUGGAGUUGUAAGCUUAAAUAAACCUUUCUUUUCCUAAGCUUCCUUUUAUCAGAAUGUUUUAUCACAACAAAAGUGGAAGCAAAACAGCUGUUAGUAUGCCAAGCAACUGGGAGCUGAAAAAAAGUAGGGUCAGCUCUGGGCUGAAGACAAGCAGGGUUAGCUCUGGUUCCAUUUGAUAAAACAGAGGCCAGGCCCAAAUUAGAAGAGAUGAAGGUCAGUCACUGUGUAGUAACAAAGGGACCAAGACAUUAGGGGAUUUUUGUUGCUUUGUUUUUUUUUUUUCAAGACAGGAUCUCACUGUGUAGCUUUGGUAGUUCUGCAACUCACUCUGCAGACGAGGCUGGUCUUGAAAUCAAAGAGCUCUAUCUACCUCCGCCUCCUGAGUGUUGGAUUAAAGGCAUGUGUCACAAUUCCAGGCUCCGCUAAGAGAUUAUAAGAGUUGCAAAUAGAUAUGUACUGAAUGUCAAGGCUAAAAUAAAUACUGCUACACAAAAAGGUCCAGAUAGACCAAGAUAAAAAUGAAAAUGGGUGACUUUGUUCAUUUAGGUUUUUUUUUUUUUUUUUUUUUUGAAUCAGGUUUCUCUGUGUAGCCCUGGCUGUGCUGGAACGUGCUCUUUAAACCAGCCUGGCCUUGAACUCAGGAAUCCACCUACCUCUGCCUCCCAUUUGCUGGAAUUAAAGGCCUAUGCUACUACCACCCAGAUAAUAGUAGGUGAUUUUUAAUAGCUCACUCUCAUCAACAAAUAGGUCAUCUAGAUCCCCUGUCCCAGUACCAAAUCAACAAAGAAACUUCAGAAUUAAAACUGCACCACAGAGCAAAUGGACUCAACAGAUGUCUAUGAAACAUUCCAUCUGACAACAGCGAACAAUCGUCUCAUGAGCAGACCAUUAUCAGAGGAGUCCGGACAGGGGCGAGAGGGGCUUUGGCAGCUUACAGCACUUGUUCCUCUCAGAGGAUCCAGAUUUGAUUUCCAGUCCCCACAUAACACCUUACAACUGUCAUAACUCCAGUUUAGAGGGAUCAUACUGUUGCCAGGCAAUCUUGGGCAGGUAGCAGGCAUGCAUGUGGUAUAUGCAUACAUCCAGACAAAACACUUAAACACAGAAAAUAAGUCUUAACCACUUAUUAUUUAUUUACAUCCC